UAUGUUGUGGAAAAGUCCAUCCAGCUGUGGUUGGACUUCUGACUUCUUUUCUUCCGGCUUCUUUUCUGCAGUGGAUAAUGGGGUAUCAGACGGACAGAAGGCAAAUGUGUUUCUUUUGGCAAGACACUUUCUAGGUCAGAUAAGGAAAUUCCAGAGAGUCCCUCCAAGGACUUGAGGGGUGAGAGGGAGAGAACGAGACAAGGUUAGAGAGGCCUUGAUGCUGAGGCUUAUUUGUGAGGCCUUUCAGUUUUCAAAAGCACUCAGCAUGCCCAAGUGCCACAUUUUGGGGAAUCAUUUUCUGUACCCCAACACUUAUAUUUUUGGUUUGCUUUAAAAAAAUUAUUUCUCUGGGAUAAAUCCCAGAGGAAAUAAUUGGUUAAAGCAUAUAAAUUGUUUCUAUGGCUUUUCAACCUGAUAAUCAAAAGGAUCAGAAUACUGUUCUAAAGAGUUCAUGCGGCUGGGCAAAGUGGCUCAUGCCUGUAAUCCCAACACUUUGGGAAGCCGCGGCGGGGUGGGAUGGUGGAUCACCUGAGGUCAGGAGUUCGAGACGAGCCCAGCCAACAUGGUGAACCUCUGUCUCUACUAAAAAUACAAAAACUAACCAGGCCUGGUGGCACGACGCCUGUAAUCCCAGCUAUUCAAGAGGCUGAGGCAGGAGAAUUGGUUGAACCUGGGAGGUGGAGUUUGCAGUGAGCUGAGAUUGCACAACUACAUUCCAGCCUGGGCAACAGAGCAAGACUCCAUCUCAAAAAAAAAAAAAAAAAAAAGAGUUAAUGCAAGUGCAAAGUUUAAGGAUGACUGUCCGGGAGACACAGACUCCAGAGGAAUGGAAUCAAUGCUCUGAAAUGGAGAAGUUAAGGUUUUACUUGCAUAGGUAGAAACAAAGAAGUUUAGCAGGAUUACUAAAGUUUAGCAGCCUUUUCCAUACGAGGCUGAUCUAUGAAUUACAGCAAUCUGAUUGGUUGCAGCUUGUUCUUUGUCAGGAAAGGUAUAGUCAACAUCUAUCUUGAGUAAAUUGAUUGUCACAGAGCCUAUUGUGCUAUCUGGUCGGAGUCAGGUACAAGAGAGGAAAGAAGGAAGUUAACCUACAAGGAGAGUCAGUAAUGAGGAAAAAGGGGUCUUUCCUCCAGUGCCCUUUAGUCUUUUACGACAUUUUACAAAAGAAUGUAGGUAUGGAAAAAGUUGAUCUAUAAUCAGAGAAACAGAGGUUGUGGCUGCCUGUUAUGUGACUCAGGUCCCACAGUCACAUUUCCUUUAAGGCUCCAAAUAAAAUUCCAACAGGUUUGUAAGCAGACAGGGAGGGUCUCCAGGGACUAUAGGCAUUUAGUCAACUGGCACAAUAAGCCUGUUUGACAGCCUCCUGCUUUGCAGCUUGUUUUUUCCCAAACCCUGUGUUGAAUGUGGUCACCUAGUUGCUGGCACCAGCUCCUGACAGACCCAGGCAACUUCUAGAUCAAGCUUGUCCAACCGGCGGCCCAGGACGGCUUUGAAUGUGACCCAACACAAAUUCAUAAACCUUCUUUGAACAUGAUGAGAUUUGUUUUUGCGAUUUUUUUAGCUCAUUAGAUACAGUUAGUAUUAGUGUAUUUUAUGUGUGGCUCAAGACAAUUCUUCUUCUAGUGUGGCCCAGGGAAGCCAAAAGAUUGGACACCCCUGUUCUAGAUGAACCUGAGUACACAUUCCUCAUGACCAUGCUGACCAUGAGCUCCACCUCAGGAGGAGCUACACCUUCAUCACCAUCACAGGCAACCUGUGGGCUGGCAUGAUGGUGCCCUGCGUCUGCAGCAGCGGGGCCCCUCGUCCCCUCCAUCACUGCAUAAAACCCUCCUGUCACUUUCCCUCAGGGAGACACUGCUUUGGAGAAUCCUCCCAGGGCUCUUCUUACCUGUGGCGAGUCAUAAAACUCCUACUGAUCCAAACCUGCGUUCUCGUGGAGAGCCGUUUGAGAUUCACCAGAGCAGCAGGGGAGUCGUGACCCCCAGGGGCUCAGUAGAGCAUGAGCCUGGCCAUUGCCAAGCGGCCCGCCCAUGCGUGCUGUGGUUACACGGUCUUCAUGCUGGCUGGGGAGCCCCGAGAACUCGGGUUUGGUUCGUCCUCCAAACACGUGAACACGUGUUGAGCACUGACUGUGAAUUCGGCAGCUGUGAUGGGGGCUGAACUCAGGGCCAAGGAGCCAGGCUCCACUCCACUGUGACACCAGGUGUGGGGCUCGGUGCAGAGCCACACUUUGAACCUGAGAGAGUGGCUGAGCUGGAUGAUUCUCAAAGUGCGCUCUGCGGACCAGCAGCAGCACCACCAGCAGCAGCAUCACCCGGGAACUCAAAGGAAAUGCAGGUUCUCUGGCCUCUGCCGAAUGCACUGAAUCAGAAUCUGCAUUUUAACAAGAUCCCCAGGGUUGAAACCCAGGUUCCAGGCUGUGAGGAAGUCCAGGACACACUGAGAGGUCAUGUGUAGGUGUUCAGGCCAACAGCACAGCCAGGGGCUCAGCUGACAGCCAGCAUCAAUGACCAGAUGUAUGGGUGAGGAGGUCUUCGGAUGACUCCAGGCCAACUCCUAUCUGACUACAGCUACAACUGCACAAAAGAGCCCGAACGAGAAACACUGGCUGAGCCCAGUCAACCCUGGAACCAGAAGAGAUGAUAAUGCCAUCCAGCCCUGAGAUUUGUUUGGAGGGUGACGCGGCCAAGGAUGACACCCACUGCCCCAGAGGCUGGGGGACUGGCAGGUAUAUCUUAGGGUUUGGGGGUGGGAGUGAAGGUCAUCCUGAGGAGAGUCCUUUUUGAGUGUGUUAAGGUGUCUGUGUCCAUGUGGACGGGCUGUCAGAAUGGGCUGGGGGAUGCGGUCAGGGACCACUCCCAUUCCCAGGGCCUGGGUGUCCUGACCAUCCAUGCUAGGUCUGUUCCACGUUGGCCACACUGUUCCAGGCAAGCGCCUUUGGUCACACGGACUGGUCUCUGAGACUGGUCUGAUGUGUGUACUCUCAGGAGCCUGGACAGGGGCAGUCUCAAUCCAGAAAUGACCUCUUCAAUACUUGGUGUAGUUCCCUGUAUGAAACGCCCAAUAUUAUGAGCCACCCAGGCCUGGGUCACCUGCUGACUGGCUGGAGGAAGUGCAUGGGACCAUGUGAGGUCACGGCAGCCCCAGGGUUUGCAGGUCGUCUGCAUCCUGGCUCCCCCGCUUACAAGCUGUUUGACCUUGGUGAGGUUAGAUCAUCUUCCUAAGCUUCAGUUUCUUCAGCCACACAAUGGGUAUAACACUUACCCUUGAGGGUUACUGCGAUUGUCACACAAGGCAGCAUUUGCAUGGGCCCUGGGCCAUGCUAGACAUUCAUCAGGCACUGAAGCUAUGGGGGAGAGAAGUGAGGGGCCCAGGCUCUGGAGCCAGUGGGUUUAAACUCCACUCUACCACUAACAAGACAUUAUUAAAAACUUCUGUGCGCCUCCAUUUCCUCAUCUGUAACAUGGGGAUAAUAAUAGCACCUGCCUCCUGGCUUGUUGAGAGGAUAUAUGUAGUGCUUACAACAGCACAACACACAUAUAUGGGUACUUCACAAAUACAAAUCCAUUCAAGGAAACCAACCCUGGUGCCCUGGGAUGGCCGUUGGUCAGAGACACAGAAGCCGAAGCCAGCUUAGGACAAGCGGAGGGGCCCAGGCCUGCCCCUCGGUUCCGGGGGCCUCACUUCUGUUCCAGGGCUGUUCAGUUACCUGCUCCUAGGCCUGGGAGGCCCAGUGGACAACAGAGUGACCUCUUCUCCACUGAUUUGAUCUGAAUACAUUCUGCCCCAUGAGGGCCCAAAUGAGGGAACUGGUAUGAUAUUCACAGAGAGGUGACAUCACCCGCUGAAGAUCACACAGCAAGUCCCUGGGCCACCUGGAUCCCGGCCACAGCUCCACCCUGCUACCUCCCUCUCUUAAGUAACACAUUAAUAAGUGUCUUACCCUCAGGCCAUUAUCUGUGUUCCCAGGCCAGGGAACAUUUCUGAAACACAUCAAACAUUGACAAAAAGAGGUGUUUUUCUGUCCCCAGGCCAGGCCCUUCGGCCUCUGUUAACCAGUGAGUGUUCUCUGUUAAUCCUGAGCCCAGCUCCUCCUACACACAAGUACAAACAAGGGCAUUGGGCAUGGGAGAAACCUGUCCACCAGGGCCAGGAGGGGACACGGAAGGUUAAUGGGUCCCCUCCCCCAAAGCAAUGCACACAGCUGGGGCUCAAUAAGUGCUACUGGGUGGUAGGAACAGAGCCAGCUGAGGGCACAGGAAGAGGGAUCUGCUAAGCAGAGGAGGCCUGACCUGGGCUUCAUUGGGUAAAACCAGUCAUCAUAAUAAGUAGCUGGCAUUUCGGGAGCUCUUAGUUAGUUCCAGACACUGCCCUGAGCACUGGACAUGGUCACUCACUAACGUUUCCAUGUUUCAGUAUCUGUGGGGUGCAUAUGUUGCUCUCCCCAGUCUACAGACAGGAAGCUGCAGGCAAGAAAGAUGAAGUCAUUUGCUUAAGUCACACCAUUACCAAGAGGCCGAGCUUGGAUUCACACCCAGCACCCUGGCUCCAGACCCAAGCUCUCAACCACAAUACAAGCCUGUGGAGUGGGAGGGGUGAAAUACAUGAGUGAGGGGUGACUUCUAGGUAUUGGCUUGGGGUGGCUGUCCCUUUGAUGGAUAUGUGGGAGGAGCGCAGGUGUCAGGUGAGGUAUUGGGGAGAAGGUGGAUGAAUUGGGUUUGGCAGGUGUUGAGUUCCAGAUACCUGAGGAUGCUCAGGUGGAGGAGGCAGGAGAGAGGCGGCUUAUGGCUCUGAAGCUGGGUGAUGGGGGCUGGAGCUGCUCACUCCAGAGUCAUCAGCGUAGAAGCGCAGCCUGGGAGACACCUGAGCGAUGAAGGGGCAAGGCCACAGCUAAGGCAGGGGAAUUGAUAUUUAGUGUGCAAGGAUUCAAAAUGACAGCAAGAAAAGAAGUGUUUUAGAGACUAUUACUAUUAUUAUUAUUGAGACAGAGUCUUACUCUGUUGCCCAGGCUGGAGUGCAGGGGUGCAAUCAUAGCUUACUGUAACCUUGAACUCCUGGGCUGAAGUGAUACUCCGGCCUCCGCCUUCCGGGACUCAGCCACCACAACCAGCUAACUUUUAAAUUUUUCUGUAAAGACAGGGUGGGGGAG